ACCCAUUUCAAAGCACUCGCCGGGACCACUGCCGGUGACCCAACUAGUCGUCCGGAAGGAGCAGAGCAAGCGGCACCGCUCUUGGGUGAAGCGGCUGUGUGCCAUGCGGUCUGGCUUCAAUCGGCGAUGUGACAAAG
ensembl:snoRNA